ensembl:snRNA U6 U6 spliceosomal RNA
GCUUCAACAGAAACAUAUACUAAAAAUUGGAAACGAUACAGAGAAGAUCAGCAUGGCACUUGCGCAAGGAUGAUAUGCAAAUUCAUGAAGCAUUCCAUAUUUUU